CAUGCAAGUCGAACGAGACCUUCGGGUCUAGUGCGCACGGGUGCGUUAACGCGUGGGAACCUGCCUUUAGGUUCGGAAUAACUCAGAGAAAUUUGAGCUAAUACCGGAUGAUGUCUUCGGACCAAAGAUUUAUCGCCUUUAGAUGGGCCCGCGUUGGAUUAGCUAGUUGGUGGGGUAAAGGCCUACCAAGGCGACGAUCCAUAGCUGGUCUGAGAGGAUGAUCAGCCACACUGGGACUGAGACACGGCCCAAACUCCUACGGGAGGCAGCAGUGGGGAAUCUUGCGCAAUGGGCGAAAGCCUGACGCAGCCAUGCCGCGUGUAUGAUGAAGGUCUUAGGAUUGUAAAAUACUUUCACCGGUGAAGAUAAUGACUGUAGCCGGAGAAGAAGCCCCGGCUAACUUCGUG
rnacentral:rRNA from 1 species